CAGUCGCCACGGUAAUACGUAGGGUGCAAGCGUUAAUCGGAAUUACUGGGCGUAAAGCGUGCGCAGGUGGUUUGUUAAGACAGAUGUGAAAUCCCCGGGCUCAACCUGGGAACUGCAUUUGUGACUGGCAAGCUAGAGUGUGUCAGAGGAUGGUGGAAUUCCCGGUGUAGCGGUGAAAUGCGUAGAGAUCGGGAGGAACAUCAGUGGCGAAGGCGGCCAUCUGGGACAACACUGACGCUGAGGCACGAAAGCGUGGGGAGCAAACAGGAUUAGAUACCCCAGUAGUCCCUGUCUCUUAUAC
rnacentral:rRNA from 1 species